rnacentral:lncRNA from 1 species
AGUAAGCACGACUUUUAACAGUGCAGCAUUUGGCCACAAGAGCGCGCCUGAGCCACAUUAGUGGCGGGCGGUGAACAUGCCAAAAUCUCCUUUCUCUUGUCACAAAAAAGCAUUCCAUUCCAAACACUGUCAAAGCCACACCGAAGGCUGUCAGCAUCUCUUUCUGUCUCGCACGAUGAUCCCUGAAAAGCCAGAUGUCGUACACACCGUUGCUUUUUAUUUACUUUUUCUGUCGUUCGAACCUAGAUGCAAAUGAAGUCCUCGAUGACAGCCAACCUGGUGAGUCUCAUUGAUUAUUCCCCAUUCAGCUAGAAAUGGUUCAAUAGAAAGGACCACUUUUAAAGAUGCAGUAAGUAUGAAUUUAUUUAGCUGCUUGCUAAUCAAAUCUUCUGAAAUGUCUCACUUGAUUCAACCAAUAUUGUAUACAUUAUGAUUGCACUGAACAAUACCUAUUUACCUGUUGUUAUAAGACAAUGAAGUACAAAACGAAAGUGAAACAACGGAACUGCCCACUUCCUGAAUCAGAUGCCCAUAGGGGGUGAAAAUGAAAACCAAACCCAAUUGCAAUUACAAUGUUUCUAAUACACUAACCUGACCCAUCACUAACAGUGAUCAGGCUUCAUUGAACAAAGUGAUUUCUCUCCUGGAAAAGCUUCUCUCAAACCAGGAACAUUUCACUGUACGGACAAUUUAUGUUUCACGAGAGCCCAAGCAAUUCCCCAGUGUUUCUCCAGAUCAAAUAUGAAGACAUUACACAUCUCCAGUCAGAACAGGCCUUGCACAAACUUUUUCCCCCUGGCACAUUUUCUGGCUAGUGCCUACAUUGCCUUCAUUGCCUUCAUUGUUGUUUUCCUUACAAAUUAUAACUUUGCACAUGUGUGCGUUCCUAUCAAAGUAAGUGCCU